rnacentral:rRNA from 1 species
UACGGGGGGAGCAAGCGUUGUUCGGAUUUACUGGGCGUAAAGGGCGCGUAGGCGGCGCAACAAGUCACUUGUGAAAUCUCCGGGCUUAACCCGGAGCGGUCAAGUGAUACUGUCGUGCUAGAGUGCGGAAGGGGCUACUGGAAUUCUCGGUGUAGCGGUGAAAUGCGUAGAUAUCGAGAGGAACACCUGCGGCGAAGGCGGGUAGCUGGGCCGACACUGACGCUGAGGAGCGAAAGCGUGGGGAGCGAACAGG